UUACGGUCACAUCACGUUGAAACACUUGUUACCAUAUGAACACCGAAGUUAAGCAACGUCGAACCUGGUCAGUACCAAGAUGGACGACCGUUUCGGAAUACCGGAUACUGUAAG